GUGAGGAAUCUUCCACAAUGGGCGAAAGCCUGAUGGAGCAACGCCGCGUGAAGGAUGAAGGUCUUCGGAUUGUAAACUUCUUUUAUGAGUGAAGAAUAUGACGGUAACUCAUGAAUAAGCACCGGCUAACUACGUGCCAGCAGCCGCGGUCAUACGUAGGGUGCAAGCAUUAUCCGGAGUGACUGGGCGUAAAGAGUUGCGUAGGCGGUUAUGUAAGCGAAUAGUGAAACCUGGUGGCUCAACCACACAGACUAUUAUUCGAACUGCAUAACUCGAGAAUGGUAGAGGUAACUGGAAUUUCUUGUGUAGGAGUGAAAUCCGUAGAUAUAAGAAGGAACACCAAUGGCGUAGGCAGGUUACUGGGCCAUUUCUGACGCUAAGGCACGAAAGCGUGGGGAGCGAACCGGAUUAGAAACCCGUGUAGUCC
rnacentral:rRNA from 1 species